UAGGGAAUUUUGCGCAAUGGGGGAAACCCUGACGCAGCAACACCGCGUGAAUGAUUAAGCCCUUCGGGGUGUAAAGUUCUGUCAGUGGGGACGAAACUUGACGGUACCCACAAAGGAAGCACCGGCUAACUCCGUGCCAGCAGCCGCGGUAAUACGGAGGGUGCAAGCGUUGUCCGGAAUCAUUGGGCGUAAAGCGUUCGUAGGCGGUAUAUCAAGUCUGGUGUUAAAGCCCGGGGCUCAACUCCGGUUCGGCACUGGAUACUGGUAAACUAGAAUGCGGUAGAGGUAAGGGGAAUUCCUAGUGUAGCGGUGAAAUGCGUAGAUAUUAGGAGGAACACCAGUGGCGAAGGCGGCUUCCUGGACUGUAACUGACACUGAGGCUCGAAAGUGUGGGUAUCAAACA
rnacentral:rRNA from 1 species